CGUACACUCCUACGGGAGGCAGCAGUGGGGAAUAUUGGACAAUGGGCGCAAGCCUGAUCCAGCCAUGCCGCGUGAGUGAUGAAGGCCCUAGGGUUGUAAAGCUCUUUCACCGGUGAAGAUAAUGACGGUAACCGGAGAAGAAGCCCCGGCUAACUUCGUGCCAGCAGCCGCGGUAAUACGAAGGGGGCUAGCGUUGUUCGGAUUUACUGGGCAUAAAGCGCACGUAGGCGGACUAUUAAGUCAGGGGUGAAAUCCCGGGGCUCAACCCCGGAACUGCCUUUGAUACUGGUAGUCUUGAGUUCGAGAGAGGUGAGUGGAAUUCCGAGUGUAGAGGUGAAAUUCGUAGAUAUUCGGAGGAACACCAGUGGCGAAGGCGGCUCACUGGCUCGAUACUGACGCUGAGGUGCGAAAGCGUGGGGAGCAAACAGGAUUAGAAACCCUGGUAGUCCCA
rnacentral:rRNA from 1 species